AGAGAGAUAUCUAUACUACAAAACGAAUUGGACCCAAUUGGUGAUUGGGCAAGUACCAAUAAUAUGAAAUUGAAUCACAAAAAGUGUAGGGAGAUGAUCGUCUCCUUUCGACGAGAUAUUGAGCAGCCCCCUCCCACCUUAGUUGUUGAAAAUAUUAGUCUUGAAAGAAUAGAAUCCCACAAAGGAUUAGGUUUAGCGAUCCAGAAUAAUCUGAAGUGGGAUUUGCACAUCAGUGAGAUAGUAACCAAAGCAUAAAAGAGAUUACACCUCUUACGAGUUCUCAAGCGCAGUGGAGUUUCAUCUUUUCAUUUGCUACGUGUAUAUUUUGCACUUAUUAGAUCCCUACUCGAAUACUGCUGUCCGGUAUGGCAUUCAUCAUUGUCCAUCAACUUGUCAGAUAAAAUUGAACGGGUCCAGAAGCGCACAAUGCGAAUAAUCUCUCCCACACUAAGCUAUGAUGCAGCUCUAGACCAAGCCAAAUGUUCGACAUUACGCG